GGGCGUAUGGUGUAGUGGUAUCACUCAUGCUUUGCAAAGUGGCUGGACGCGUAAAGCUUCCAACCCCUCGUCUGUAUGCGGUCUAGGGUUCGAACCCCUAUGCGUCCA